rnacentral:rRNA from 1 species
UACGGAGGGAGCUAGCGUUGUUCGGAAUUACUGGGCGUAAAGCGCGCGUAGGCGGCUUUGUAAGUUAGAGUUGAAAGCCCGGGGCUCAACCCCGGAACUGCCUUUAAGACUGCAUCGCUUGAAUCCGGGAGAGGUGAGUGGAAUUCCGAGUGUAGAGGUGAAAUUCGUAGAUAUUCGGAAGAACACCAGUGGCGAAGGCGGCUCACUGGACCGGUAUUGACGCUGAUGUGCGAAAGCGUGGGGAGCAAACAGU